AACUCAAAGGAAUUGACGGGGGCCCGCCCAAGCGGUGGAGCAUGUGGUUAAUUCGAAGCAACGCGAAGAACCUUACCAGGCCUUGACAUGUAGAGAACUUUCCAGAGAUGGAUUGGUGCCUUCGGGAAGUGUGACACAGGUGCUGCAUGGCGGUCGUCAGCUGGUGUCGUGAGAUGUUGGGUUAAGUCCUGUAACGAGCGCAACCCUUGUCCUUAGUUAGCAGCACGUUAUGGUGGGUACUAUAAGGAGACUGGCGGUGACAAAGCGGAGGAAGGUGGGGAUGACGUGAAGUCAUCAUGGCCCUUAGGGCGUGGGCUACAGACGUGCUACAAUGGUCGGAACAGAGGGUUGACAAGCCGGGAGGUGGAGAUAAUCUAACAAAACACGAUAGUAGUGGGGAUCGCAGUCUGCAACUAGAGUGCGUGAAGUGGGAAUCGGUAGUAAUCGGGAAUGAGAAUGUCGGGGAGAAUAUGUUCGGGGGUUGUGCACACAGCCCGUGUCACAAUGGGGGAGGGGGUUACCAGAAGUGGUUAGCCUAACCGCAAGGGGGGCGAGUACCACGGUAGGGAUACAUGAAUGGGGGAAGUGU
rnacentral:rRNA from 1 species